UGGGGAAUAUUGGGCAAUGGGCGCAAGCCUGACCCAGCAACGCCGCGUGAAGGAAGAAGGCUUUCGGGUUGUAAACUUCUUUUAUGAGGGACGAAAGAAAUGACGGUACCUCAUGAAUAAGCCACGGCUAACUACGUGCCAGCAGCCGCGGUAAUACGUAGGUGGCAAGCGUUAUCCGGAUUUACUGGGUGUAAAGGGCGUGUAGGCGGGACUGCAAGUCAGAUGUGAAAAUUAUGGGCUCAACCCAUAACCUGCAUUUGAAACUGUAGUUCUUGAGUGAUGGAGAGGCAGGCGGAAUUCCGU
rnacentral:rRNA from 1 species